AUGGCCGGUGGUAAAGGAGUGCAGCAACGCACCACCUCGGGUGGUUCCCAGUCGCCGGCUCCAGAGGAGCGGCGAGGGCGCAACCGCUCCAGGCGCGGCCAUCGCGGUGAGGUCGUGGUUAGGGAGAUCGUGCGCGAGACCGCAAUCAGCGGUAGCGUGCCCAUCACCUUCCCGAUGCUCACGCGCUCGAACUACAGCGAGUGGGCGUUGAUCAUGGAGUGCAACCUUCAUGCGGCAAGCCUCUGGGCUCCCAUGGAGGACGACCUGAUCGAGAGAAAGGAGGACAGGAAAGCCGUGGCAGCCCUCAUGCGCGCCACGCCACCGGAGAUGCACGGCAUGCUCGCGGCGAAGGCAAGCACCAAGGAGGCGUGGGAAGCCAUCCGUACCCAGCGCCUCGGCAGCAACUGCGUGCGCGAGGCGAACCCGCAGAAGCUGCGGGCGGACUUCGAGAACAUCGCCUUCAAGGAGGGCGAGCUCGUCGACGAAUUCGCCAUGCGGAUCUCCAGCCUUGCGUCACAGCUCCGCGCGCUCGGCGACACCAUGGACGACACGAGAGUCGUGCGGAAAUUUCUCCGCGUCGUGCCAUCUCGCUUCGCUCAGGUAGCGGUCUCCAUCGAGACCUUGCUUGAUCUGAGUGAGCUCUCCGUCGAGGAGCUCACGGGCCGGUUGCGGGUGGUCGAGGACCGUCUUGACGACGGCCGCGAGAGCUUCGGCGGCGGACAACUCCUAUUCUCAAAGAAGUGGGAGGCGAGGAAGCGUCAAGGACGUGGUGGCGGUGCCCAGAGUAGCAGAGGCGGCGGUCGCACCCAGGGUGGAGCCGGGCGAGGUGCCGGCAACGACGACCGGGACAAGUGCCGAUAUUGUAGCAUCAAGGGCCACUGGGCCCGUGAGUGCCGCAAGAGGAUGGCUGAUGAGGAUGCCGCGGCCGCGGCGAACCUCGUCGAGGCUGAAGAGGACGGUGGGCCAGCAAUGAUGAUGGCUUGCGUCGAGACCAUGCAGGAGGGCACAGCGCCUCCGGCAACCAUGGUCCCGACAAGCAUCGAAGCCGUGCAGGAGGGCGCAGCACCUCCGGCGACCACGGUGCCGGCAACCGUCAAGUCUGUGCGGGAGGCACGGAGCUCUUCAAAUAAUCCCCUCCCCACAUCGGUAGCGCUCUCCCCGACAACAACGUUCUCGGGAGAUUUCGAUUGGGAGGAGAUGAAGACCCGGGUGUGGGGGAGCCACACCCCGGCAACCACGUCCCUUGUGACGCUGGUCAAGCCCGUGCAAGUUGGCACGGCAAUCGCGGCCCCGACAUCCUCGGGACCCGACAAGCCCGUGCAAGUUGGCACGGCAAAGGCGUACCCGACAUCUUCGGGACCCAAUAAGCCCGUGUCAGGAGGCACGGCAACGACGCAUAUGGUGGGCCAUGUCCCAACCAUGAUGCUGGUGACCAGUGAGACCGUGCAAGAGGCAUGA
rnacentral:rRNA from 1 species